AGAAGCCCCAGGAGAAAGUCCAGAGUCACCCGAGGGUGCGGCCCCAGGGAGCUUCACGCAGCCAGCUCUGCAGCCAGCACCUAAGGAGGUGCCCGCGGGAGGAGGAGGGGGCGUGUGGGAUGCUCUGGCCGGGUGGGCUGCCUGGGAAGGGGUGGCUGACCGAGUUUGUCACUGAUGGAGACAUGGAAGUGUCCGCCAUGCACAGAUGGAGACUUGGCCAUCACUCCAUAGGGGAACACUUGAGCAGCAGGGACGACGGCCCCAGGCUGUGGAGUGGCUUCCCUGCCUUGCCGCCUGCUCCCUGUGCCCUUGCGGCUCCCACUGAGUGGGUAGAGACCGCUCGCCAGCCUUGCAGUCUAGGCUGGCCUUGGCUUGGACCCUUGGGAGACCUUCCAGCUUCCACUCUGUCUUGGAAGGAACCCUGACAGCCCUCUGAGAACAAGCCCGGGCCAGACUGCUGGGGGAUGUGUUGUCAUCGGGCAGCCAACCUCCAGCCUCCAGAACAGGCCCAUCGGAGAUCAGCACAGCCUGGAUCAGGCCAGCAGCACUGCCUGGGUGGCCCCGGCUCGUGAGCAAGUGUAGAUGCUUAUUGCUUUUGUCCACCGCGUCUCCAGGCUGCUGGGUUUGCAGCAGCAGCUGACCCAUCCACCACGGCCACCACGAGAGGUCACACAGGUACCACUUGAAGCUGCGACACUUCAGCCUCUGACGCAGGGCCAGCCUCUCAGACACGUCCCCGAAGUCCACCCCUGGGUUCUGCAAGGCCAGAAGUAGGUGAGAGGAGGGUCUGAGGCAGCUGCUCCUGAUGGGAAGGACCCUGCCAGAGGCCAGCCCCGGCCUGGACAGACGGCCCCUGCUGCAGCCGGCUCGUCCACACCCACCCGGGCCCAGGAACCUCCUGCCUGAGAAGACGGCCCUGCUCACCUGGCCUUACUGCACGGCAUCAGCCUGACCUCUGGAGGGUGGAGACUGAGGUCAGCCAUAUCCAGAGACCAGCCUGGUGAGGACCCUGGAUACUGAGGCUUGGGGGCUCCUGGCUGGCCCCGCCUGGCACGUGUUGUCACGCAUGGGUGCCGGAGAAUCAAGUCCUUGGGACCCCCCGCGGGGGGACACCUGAGAGCUUGUACCUGGCCUUUCCUGGUCCCUGCCCAGGCGUCUCUUCCCUCUGCUGACUUUGACCCGUGUCCUCUGCCGUGAGAACCCACAGCCGAGUGCGGUGUCUGUGUCUUCCUGGGACUGUGGGGCCUGAGAGGCUGUAGGGACCAGCACUCUCUGACGGACAGCCAGCCCUGAGGGAGCACCUGCACCCUGCCCAGGGACCCUCCAGGCUCAGGCCUUGUGGGGAGGGCAGACGACUUGGCCUUCACGGCCUGGGCUUGAAUCCCGUCACCUUCUGGUAUGUGGGCCUGGGACAGUCCCCUAUCUUCUCUGUGCCUCAGUUACUCAUUGGUAAAGUGGGGACGAUCACGCCAGAAACUCAUUGUUGCUCUGUUAUGAGGUUUUAAUCAGCCAAGGGGCUCACACCAGGGCCCUUGGACACGGAGGUGACAGGCAUUUGCCGGCCUCACUGCCCGGGGGCCUGGAGCACCUCACUCAGUUGCCCACACACUUGGGGAGGUCAUCACCCUGCACGUUUUCCUUAUCACUUCAUGGAAAACAAGGCUGUAGGAGCACCGGGUACCCUCUUCUCGUCUCUCAGACACGAGUGCACGUGUCUACGGCUCCUGAUCUGCCUGGCGGGAGCUGAUAUGGGGGCUGGAUGCUGGAUUUGCAGUGAAUGGUCCAGCCCGGGGCCACUUCAGGCCGUGUCACCCACACGCUGGGGUGCACUCUAGCAGGGGGUGGUAAGCCAAUUUAGGGGCUGUGGUGGGAAGUUUUAAGAAGUAGUAAUAUUGUAAAUGAGAAGGGUCACUUUGGUGCUACGUACACAAAGCGCUGUAUGUGGACAGAUGUAAAUGUAUGCGUGUGUGCGCUGGGUCAUGACUUAAGAUCUGGCUCAUUAGGGUUGAUGCAGACAAGCCCGUUUCUAAGAUGAGCCCUCCCAGAACUCAGGGACCCAGUGCCUGCAGUGGCCAGGGAAGGAAGGGGGUGGUUCCAGAGACGCUGGGGUGUGGCGGGAUGGGUCGCGGCCACCCGUCUCAGUACCUGCCUUUCUUAGGGUUGUGGGGGUGGGGCGCUUUGAGAAAAGCCAGAAUUCAGGCUCUUUAUGGGAAAUUACAAAUUAGAAAACAAACAGCAAUCCUCAACUUGAAGCGGGUCAGCCACUCAUAGGCCAAAGCCCAACAGGAAACAACCAAAAACGUCCAUCCACGGACGAGUGGAUCCACACGAGGGGCCCUUUCACACUGUGGACGUGACUCAGCCAUGGUGGGGGUGACCUGGAAAAGGUGGCGCUGAGGACGGGAAGCCACACAGCGUAUGAGCCGUUCAUGAAACCGCCAGACAGUUGAGGCUGCCCGGGGCUGGGGAGGGGUCCGCACUGGCUGACAGGUGCUGUGCAGGGCACUAAGUGGGGCCCUGGCUGAGGCGGCGGCACCAGGUUGGGGAGAGGCCGCCCCUCCCUGGCUUCUAACCACGGGGCAAUUGCUCUAGGCUGAGAGGAAAAACGCCCACCACACCGGGGUGGGUGUGAGCUGGUCUCUUCCCAGUGUGAGGAAGGCUCCUUCCCAGGCAGACAGCUCACCCACUCACACCUGCACACACAACUGCUUGCACCUGUGCACACCUGUCAACACACCCACUCACACCUGCAGGGGGCCCUAGGGGGCCUCCCUCCGGCCCAGCCCUGCCGUGGCAUUGACCCCGACCCUGGGGCAUGGCCCCGG
rnacentral:lncRNA from 1 species